rnacentral:rRNA from 1 species
UCUUUUAAUUCUGAAGUAGUAAAAUUGAAACUUAAAAAUUUGACAGUGUUUAAUUUUCAAAGGAAUAUGUAAUUUAAUCGUCAAUACACGUUAAAUCUUACUUGUUUUAUUUUUGUAUAUCUCCGUUGUUAGAUUUUAUAAAAAAUAAUAUUAAUUUUCUUUAUAAAAAAUUUUAAAACAUCAGGUCAAGGUCCAAAAUAAACAAGUUAUUAUGUAUUACAAUCAUAUAUAUUGAAAUGAAUUUAUUAUGAAAAAUAGUAUUGAAAUUGAAUUUGCAAGUAAGAUAUAUAUAGAAGAUGUAUCUGAAAUUAAUUAAAUAUGU